GGAGUCGUAAUGAAAAGAAAUCUGUAAAAGCUGUGAUUUUCAAAAUUUUUGAGAAUUCGUUUAGAUCUCCUAGCAACGGCAGUGUUUAUCAUUUGACACAUUUCCUGUGUUGUAUUCGCGUGAUUUAUGCGUGAUUUCAUAGUGGGAUAGUGCUUCUCAAAGUUUUCUUAAUUUAUGUGUUUACAUUGUACAUUGUAGAGUGUAAUUGCCAAAUAACAAAAAUGCAAGACAACAACAUGUUACGGAUAUACGACGAGAGUUAAGCCGAUCUUUGGGUUCCACAUCCAAAUCGGUUUAUGGCGCAAAUAAUAAAGCCGCGAAUAACCAAAAACUGGUGGUUUUAAACAACAACCAAAUUUAUAGCAGAGGGUACACUGGCUUCUAUCAUUUUCGACCAGACAAAGACUACAUACCAGGAACGCAAAAGCCGCAUAGAUUUGCAGUACCAGCUAUUUUGCCUUUCCACGCUGAUAGUGAACUUGCUACAGCAUCACUCGAAGCAAACCACAUUGAUGUGGCAAUCACAAGAACGCCUUUCGCUCCGCCAAGAAGUUUCUAAAAGAUCAACGUUUGGCUGGUAUCGUGAAAGGAUUGGCUUCUUUUCAGCGAGAAUUUUUUGAAAACUAGAUUAGAAACGUACAUCGAAAAGCAGGAGUUUUACAUUUGAGGUGAAAGCAGAUGCCAUUGCCAUUUGGAAGUAUGGUUCAAAAUCGUAUAAACUUCUGCCAAGAAUGUUUAUGUUGCUAUCUAUUAACACUUUGAGGGCAACCCUAAAUAAAGUUCCAAUAGAACCGGGUAUCAUCAAACCUAUAUUCGAAGUUCUCAGAAAGCAAGUAAGUCGCAAAAUUAACCCUAAGUAUGUACUCUCAUCUUUGAUGAGAUGUUCAUUCAGCCUCAUCUGAACCACUUGCCUUAUGAGGACAGUUGUGGUUUUUGAAGAUGACGGUUCAACAAGGACGGAAAAAAUUGCAGACCAUAUUUGCGUACUCAGAGGAAUUUUCGGAAGGUAGAAGCUACCUGUUGUUUUUGCUUUUUGUAAAAAUUCUAUGCCUGGCGUAAACACUGCCCAUUUUUU